AUACGAGGGGUGCAAGCGUUAAUCGGAAUUACUGGGCGUAAAGCGUUCGUAGGCGGUUUGUUAAGCAAGAUGUGAAAGCCCUGGGCUCAACCUGGGAACUGCAUUUUGAACUGGCCAACUAGAAUACUGUAGAGGGUGGUGGAAUUUCCAGUGUAGCGGUGAAAUGCGUAGAGAUUGGAAGGAACAUCAGUGGCGAAGGCGGCCACCUGGACAGAUAUUGACGCUGAGGAACGAAAGCGUGGGGAGCGAACAGGAUUAGAAACCCGGGUAGUCC
rnacentral:rRNA from 1 species